rnacentral:rRNA from 1 species
UACGUAGGCGGAAAAUUAAGUCAGUGAUGAAAUCCUGCAGCUUAACUGUAGAACUGUCAUUGAUACUGGUUUUCUUGAAUACAGUUGAGGUAGGCGGAAUGUGUAAUGUAGCGGUGAAAUGCUUAGAUAUUACACAGAACACCGAUUGCGAAGGCAGCUUACUAAACUGUUAUUGACGCUGAGGUACGAAAGCGUGGGGAGCGAACAGGAUUAGAUACCCCUGGUAGUCC